rnacentral:misc_RNA from 1 species
GAUGAAAUAGAGCGACAGAAUAACCAACUGGAUCGUCUCGGCCCCAAAGUGGGAAAAGCCAACGACCAUCUGGAGCACCAGAACAAACAGAUGAAAACCAUCCUCAGAAAGUGAUCUGGGAGGGGGAUCUGAACUGUCCACUGGAAGUGGACUACCAAGUCAUAAUGCAGAAUAAGGAGUUUCUCAUCCACAAAACAGUGCCAACCUCUUUUACUGUGUCAUUAUCUGAAAUCCAAGAGUAUGGUUUAAGUUAUCAUCCAGAUCAUCCUGAUUUUUAUCAUUAUGACUUUUUAUUCACUUUGACUGUGUCUGAGAAAUGGAUUUUAUUUUCGUUGAUAAAAGUUGUAAAAUUGUAGAGAUGUCCAUUGCUUUGGCAUUUCAGAUAGCAUUUAAUUGGUGAACAUACGGGUAUUGAAAAUGUACAUGCAUGAAUAUUGUACUUCAAUAUAAAGAUAGAUUGUAUAACCAGAGUAGAUAUAUCUGCAAGAGAACUUGCAGGCCUUCUACAUUUAUCAGAUCUGCAAAACAUAAUGGUACACGUACUGUUGCUCCAAUUUGUUCACAGCUUGACAUAGAUGUUGUUUUCUGGUAGUUGUGUAAAUGUUGUUUUUGGUGAUGGAAGAUGUGUCCUCAUUGGAGUGAUUGAUUUGUGAGUGUGUUUUGAAGUGCUUAAGUUAGGUACAAGUUUAUUAAAUAAGUAUACUUGUGAAGAAAGACUGUCUUAUUGUGUACAUUGUGUACAUCUUGUUAACGUUUCAGUUCAUUUUAAGUUUAUUUUUAUACCCUCUACUUCCAAGCAAAUGAAGUCUGGGGGAUUUUUUUGUAAUAAUUAUGUUCACUUGUUUGAUGACAUGUAUGUUUGUUUUUAUGUUUUACAGUUGUCACUUUUUUUGUCCUUGAACUUCUUAGUUUUAAGUGUGGCAACUGAAAUAGAAACCUAUGUGCUCCAAAAAUGCUUAGUUUUUAGGCCCAUGUUCAAUGGAAAUUCGAAAAUGUGGACUUAAAAGCCUUUAGAGUUUAUAGCACUGUGAUGGUGCCCUGAAAGACAUGUAUGUAUUUGUACUGUUUUCUCUGUGUGUUAUACCAUUUAUGUUUUAAAUUCAUUGUGCAAUCAGAGGCUUCAUUCCAAUGUUAUUUUAUUUCAUAAUAUGACAAAAAGAAUUUUUUUAAAAAUGCAAAUUCAUGUAACUUCAUCAAAUGUAUAUUUAAAAUAAAAAUCAUUUAUGAAUCAAG